CCCACGUGGUGAUAUGGUUGGAUGACCUAAAAUUGAAAAUUGAUGUUGCAGGACAUGCCUCAACAAUUGAAAGUGAGGCUUCGAGAAAGAGAGGAAGAGGAUUGGCAUAAGAUUCAACACGUACCCUCCACUAACAUACACGAAUAAGAUGUGGAUAUGGUGUUCUUGUGACUAGCAAAUACGUGAUCUCUCCAAAGCAAAGCGGAUGCAUUGAGGUUGGAAAGUCUCGAGCUUGUGCAAGCCAACAUAGGCAUGUAUGGAAGAUGUGCAACAUCCAAGCUGUCCAUCAGUAUUUGAUGCCUUGAAGUGGACAACAAGGGCAUGGAUCCUACAUAGUGGGCCAAGUUUAUCAUCUAAAUAGCAAC